UACAGAGGUCUCAAGCGUUGUCCGGAUUUAUUGGGCGUAAAGAGCGUGUAGGCGGCCAGGUAGGUCUGGUGUGAAAACUCGAGGCUUAACCUCGAGCUGUCGGCGGAAACCAUCUGGCUAGAGUCCGGAAGAGGAGAAUGGAAUUCCCGGUGUAGCGGUGAAAUGCGCAGAUAUCGGGAAGAACACCCGUGGCGAAGGCGGUUCUCUGGGACGGUACUGACGCUGAGACGCGAAAGCGUGGGGAGCGAACAGG
rnacentral:rRNA from 1 species